rnacentral:rRNA from 1 species
AUUGAACGCUGGCGGCAUGCCUUACACAUGCAAGUCGAACGGUAACAGGUCUUCGGAUGCUGACGAGUGGCGAACGGGUGAGUAAUGCAUCGGAACGUGCCCAGUAGUGGGGGAUAGCCCGGCGAAAGCCGGAUUAAUACCGCAUACGACCUGAGGGUGAAAGGGGGGGAUCGCAAGACCUCUCGCUAUUGGAGCGGCCGAUGUCAGAUUAGCUAGUUGGUGGGGUAAAGGCCUACCAAGGCAACGAUCUGUAGUUGGUCUGAGAGGACGACCAGCAACACUGGGACUGAGACACGGCCCAGACUCCUACGGGAGGCAGCAGUGGGGAAUUUUGGACAUUGGGCGCAAGCCUGAUCCAGCAAUGCCGCGUGCAGGAAGAAGGCCUUCGGGUUGUAAACUGCUUUUGUCAGGGAAGUAAUCUUCUGGGUUAAUACCUCGGGAGGAUGACGGUACCUGAAGAAUAAGCACCGGCUAACUACGUGCCAGCAGCCGCAGUAACAC